GCGGCUCGCCGGAUCUAGCGAUAGAGCUCGAGCUCCCGAUUUGGGCGAGCUCGAGCUCUGUCGCCAGAUCCAGCGCGCUCG
rnacentral:pre_miRNA from 1 species